AUCCAGCCCGGCCGCUCCGCGGGUGGAGGAGGACGCGGGACGCUCGGGCUCCCAGGCGCUGCCGCUGCGGGUCCCAUGGCGCACGCAGGUGCCUGCGGAAAACAGCGGCGACAUCGCGGCCAGCCUGGGCUUGUUUUCCCGGUAGUACUGGGUUCUGAGAGAGAGUAACUGCAUGGAAGGCCUUGAAGACUGGGCUUGGGCCUGCUGUACCCACAUGACUGCUUCUGCCACGUUCUACUGGCCAAGCUCUAUGGGCAGCUCAGACACAAGGGAAGAGACUCUGCUGCUUCCUGGGAGAAGCUGCAAGACCACAUUGCGAAGGUGUGAAGACAGGGAGGGGUAGAGAAGGUAGUCUUGCUUGCCGUCGGUCUGUGGCUUUUCAUUUCAAACCUCACCAUUUUGUGGAUUUUGAUCUAAGGAACAUGUUGUUGCUGCUCCCAUGUUACCUUCGUCAGUGACCUGAGAUGCAGACUGGAUCUAGGGAAUGGUGUUUCCUGUGUGAUGCCUUCCAGGAGUAUCUGCACCACGGGCAGUGCCAGGCCGAGGACAGAGGGCCUAAUGGAGGACACUCUACAACUCCAUCCUGCUGCUGGGGGGGCUUGGGGGCGCCUCCACGAGGGUCUUCAGAGGAAAGGCAUGUGUGUGGUCUGUGGCCUGCCAGCAGGAGAGCUGGGGGAGGCCGGCAUCUUGAGGCUGUUGGCAGCAAGUGCAGGCAGAGGCCUCGGGCCAGAGGGGAGGUGGCAGGGCUCAGGUGCCCUGUGCUUCCUCGGAGAAGGCACUUGGGAUGAAGGCUUAGUCCUGCCUGGUAAACCUGGAGGCCUGUGAACACUGGGGUUAGCCCCAACAAGGGAGGAGGUUCCCGCUGCCUCACUAAGAACAGCCUGCUGCUACACUCACCCUGACAGCUGCUCCGCUCCCAGUGAACCCCACCCCGAGAAGGCUCAUCGGGGCCACGGACCUCCCUCAGCGCUGCAUUCAGAAUCCCUCAGGAGUUGUAAACUUCCUGAUUUCUGGACCCAUCACCAGAGCCCAACGUCACGGGUAAGGGUUAGGGCCUGGAUGUCAGGAUUCAAUUUGGAGAAUUCCCCGGGGCAAUUCCACCAUUGCAGACACUGAAACGGAGCUGGGGCAGAAGAAUCACACCAGGUGGCUCGAGCUGAGCGGCUGGGAGUGUGGCAGUGAAGACACUGAGUGUCCGUCAGGGAAGAUGGCUCUGGGUACAACAGCGUGCCCAGCCCCUUAGAUAUUCUCUGCACGGAAGUGGCCCCACCCUGAAGCGCGUGUGCAGUGACUGUUCAUGCUUCUGUGUGUGUGCAGGAGUAGUUUGGUUGGAGUGUGCAUAUGCGAAUGUGUGUGUAUGGAAGUCUAUCUAUCUGUAAUGUAAAGCAGUUGCGUAAUGCAAAUGUGUGUGUAUGGACAUCUAUCUGUAAUGCAAAGCAGUUGCGUAAUGCAAAUGUGUGUGUAUGGAUGUCUAUCUAUCUGUAAUGUAAAGUUCCCAAGUAUUGUGUAUAUCAUUGUUUGAGUUUUUAAAUUCUAAGAUAAUUUCUAGAGAAAAAGAUGUACGGGUGAUUCCUGGUGAAAAGCAGGGACCGUGGGCCUCAUAUUGAGACACAUUUCACGCUGUUUAGAUUGUAAUGGCAAUUAUGUAUGACUUUUGUACGUUUUUUAAAAAGCCAAUAAAAUACAUUUUAAAAUGUGGAAUUA
rnacentral:lncRNA from 1 species